rnacentral:misc_RNA from 1 species
UACGAAGGCCCCGAGUGUUAUCCGGAUUUAUUGGGCGUAAAGCGUACGUAGGAGGCUUGGUGCGUCUCAUGUUAAAUCUCACUGCUUAACGGUGAGGCUGCAUGGGAUACGGCCAGGCUAGAGGAUGCGAGAGGUUUGCGGAACGCACGGUGUAGGGGUGAUAUCCGUUGAUAUCGUGCGGAACACCAAAGGCGAAGGCAGCAAACUGGCGUAUUCCUGACUCUGAGGUACGAAAGCGUGGGUAGCGAACGGG